rnacentral:tRNA from 1 species
GCCGAUGUGGCUCAGUGGCAGAGCAGCUGAUUCGUAAUCAGCAGGCCGGCGGUUCGAAUCCGCCCAUCGGCUCCA